rnacentral:tRNA from 1 species
CUUAAAUAGCUUAUAUAGAGCAUAAUAUUGAAGAUAUUAAGGAAAUAAAUAAUAUUUUUAAGUAG